CUUUCUGCUUUCACGUCAGAAAUUGAUAAUACAAGAUCUCCGACGUAAUAUUUAUGGCCCUUUUGGGAAAUGAUUUACCUUGAUGGUUGACUAAUUAGUUUUGUCACUUACCAAGAACGAAAAAGAAAACUUUGUUUAGAUAUUAAUACCUUGAUACUAUACACACUAAUGAGAUUUUGUUUUCGAACGUCGUCCUAAUAGCAUAAUUAUCAAAAGGAUUCCGCUUAUGAUAAAUUAACGAAC
rnacentral:lncRNA from 1 species